CCUACGGGGGGCAGCAGUGGGGAAUAUUGCACAAUGGGCGCAAGCCUGAUGCAGCCAUGCCGCGUGUGUGAAGAAGGCCUUCGGGUUGUAAAGCACUUUCAGCGGGGAGGAAGGCGGUGAGGUUAAUAACCUCAUCGAUUGACGUUACCCGCAGAAGAAGCACCGGCUAACUCCGUGCCAGCAGCCGCGGUAAUACGGAGGGUGCAAGCGUUAAUCGGAAUUACUGGGCGUAAAGCGCACGCAGGCGGUCUGUCAAGUCGGAUGUGAAAUCCCCGGGCUCAACCUGGGAACUGCAUUCGAAACUGGCAGGCUAGAGUCUUGUAGAGGGGGGUAGAAUUCCAGGUGUAGCGGUGAAAUGCGUAGAGAUCUGGAGGAAUGCCGGUGGCGAAGGCGGCCCCCUGGACAAAGACUGACGCUCAGGUGCGAAAGCGUGGGGAGCAAACAGGAUUAGAUACCCGGGUAGUC
rnacentral:rRNA from 1 species